rnacentral:rRNA from 1 species
AACGAACGCUGGCGGCAGGCCUAACACAUGCAAGUCGAGCGCCCCGCAAGGGGAGCGGCGGACGGGUGAGUAACGCCUGGGAACGUACUCUUUGCUACGGAAUAGCCUCGGGAAACUGGGAGUAAUACCGUAUGUGUCCUUCGGGAGAAAGAUUUAUCGGCAAGGGAUCGGCUCGCGUUGGAUUAGGUAGUUGGUGGGGUAAUGGCCUACCAAGCCGACGAUCCAUAGCUGGUUUGAGAGGAUGAUCAGCCACACUGGGACUGAGACACGGCCCCGACUCCUACGGAAGGCAGCAGUGGGGAAGCAUAGACAAUGGGCGCGAGCCUGAGCUAGCCGUGCCGCGUGAGCGAGGAAGGCCGUAGGGUUGUAAAGCUCUUUCAGGGGGGAAGAUAAUGACGGUACCCCCAGAAGAAGCCCCGGCAAACUCCGU